UACAGAGGUCUCAAGCGUUGUUCGGAUUCAUUGGGCGUAAAGGGUGCGUAGGUGGCUUGGUAAGUUGAAGGUGAAAUCUCGGAGCUCAACUCCGAAACUGCCUUCAAUACUGCUGGGCUUGAGGAUUGUAGAGGAGAAUGGAAUUCACGGUGUAGCAGUGAAAUGCGUAGAUAUCGUGAGGAAGACCAGUGGCGAAGGCGAUUCUCUGGGCAAUUCCUGACACUGAGGCACGAAGGCCAGGGUAGCGAACGGG
rnacentral:rRNA from 1 species